UACGUAGGGUGCGAGCGUUAAUCGGAAUUACUGGGCGUAAAGCGUGCGCAGGCGGUUUUGUAAGCCGGAUGUGAAAUCCCCGGGCUUAACCUGGGAAUGGCAUUCGGGACUGCAAGGCUGGAGUGCGGCAGAGGAGACUGGAAUUCCUGGUGUAGCAGUGAAAUGCGUAGAUAUCAGGAGGAACACCGAUGGCGAAGGCAGGUCUCUGGGCUGACACUGACGCUCAUGCACGAAAGCGUGGGGAGCAAACAGGAUUAGAAGUACCCCAG
rnacentral:rRNA from 1 species